UGUUUAAGAGAACUCUAAAAUGAUACGGCACAGACUGAGGCCAAUUACCCCUGUUACUCUGCUGCAUUUGAAAGGCAAAUCUGGGUUGUUCUGCCUCUUUGACCUGUAGGUAUGUGGUCACCAAAGAGAAAUCAGGUCUGAAUGGAAGGUUUAUACUUGAGGUUGAAGCCUGCUGUCUUGUCUGUUUUUGAACAGCGCCUGGAACUUUAUCAUGUUUCACGUAACUUGCAGCAUUUGUGCGCAACAUAAAGGAGUGAGGCUUCUGCUGGGGUUGUGUACAUGUACGUGAGUAGAGGUGGGCAGGAGAGCCCCAAGCAAAAUCCAUUCCAAGGUCAGUUUCAUAUAUUCAAAAUCAUCCAACCAGUAAUCCCUGUGUAUUCAGGCUGAUUUAGAAGCAAGACUGUCACUAAAUAGAUGACUGCAAUAAAAUGUCACAUUGGAGAGAGCCCUCGAAGUUCUCAGCAUUCGUCCUCCUUCACCCUUUCACCAGCUCCCGGUCAUGAAUCAUUCCGUCUUCAGAUUGAACUCCUGAUGCUUCGGUUCCAGAAAACAGCCCGACUUCCGCAAUUUUUCUUCAUUCUCACUAACAAUUUGGCUGGUGGUACUUCAGUCAAAUUCUAACUACGCAUUCAUACCUUGUGAUGUAUUAAUUUGACAUAUUUGUCAUACAGCUGCCGGACAGAAUGAGAGGAGGUUGUGAGAUAAACACGUACACUGCCUGUCUUUCCCUCAGAAAGGAGAAUCUGCAUGAUGUGAGCUGGAUGCUGGAGCCGAGGCUUAAGCUCUUUACGUAUUCUGAUUCCUUAGAAUUGACUGACUGCAGCUGAUGAGACUCACAAACUUUAUUGAAAUCCAGCUGGUUGUUAAAUAAGUCGAGGACCAACCUGCCUCCUUGGGCUCAUCGUGGCUUGAAGACGUUUAAAAGGGAAUAGGCGAUACUUUUAUGUUUCAUCCAGAAAUAAUUUGCCAACAGAAACUAGACAGUGAGCUGUGUGUACUAAUAUUUUGCUUCAAGGUCAUAUCAGCAUCGAAGCCUGUUGGUCACAAAUAAAAGAGUCACACACUCCCACUGCCCAGCUGCUGGCUGGCUGGUCCAAAUGCUUCUAACUGGAAAUUGCAGGUGUUUGUUAUUUCAAUGGUGCUUAGCUGAAAACUGUGUUGUUCUGAAUUAUUGCUUUCCUCUAGCUUUCUAAUACGUCCAUAAUUUCUCAGAUAUACUCACACUUUUACUGCAACAGGUUAGAUGACAACUGGCUGAAGCAGCAUUGGAUAAUAGUGGAAGAAGUGGCUUAGCAUUGAAAUUUUUUUCAGAGCUUUCUGAAUUGGCCUCCUACCAUUUUGAUGACAGGUACAGUUUUGGAGGGAGGGGGAAGAAAAGUGCCUGUUCUUCAGAAAGUCCUCCUCCAGACUGAUAGGCCCACAUUCCAUAAAGCAGCCUGCUGUCUUGUGUUGUGAAAAGAAUCAGCUUUUCCUAGGAACGCCAUUACUGUGUAAUGAGGCAUGCAGCAAAAUAUACCUUCAGCAGCACUUGAUGAAGGCUCGCUGACACACCAGACCAGACUGAAAUGUUUUUGUGUGUUCUUCCUUAUUUUGUCCAUCAAUCAUGUCAUUAGUCAAAGCAGACAGCCUUGUCAGCUGGGCACAGAUGCAGACUGGCAGCAGAUCAGUGGACAGGUGUUCGAG